rnacentral:lncRNA from 1 species
CGUUACAAAGAUAAUUUGAUAGAUUUGAAGAUAGAUUUAUGCGGGUUGCAAUCUCUAGUUAAUCCUCUGAUUCUUCUCUUCCAUUUGAUUCUUGAACAAGCUCGAAGGUUCUUGAAAUACUUGAUUUGAUGACGCCAAUCCAAGGGACUUAAGUCAUGAUUUUGGAUUGAACGUUGAACUUGAUUUGAUUUGAUUUGAAGAACGUCCUUAGAAUUUGUAAGAACGCCUUGAAGCUUUGGGACUUGGUUGAUUUGAUUUGAGGAAGAUCGUUCUUGGAAUUUGUAAGAACGCCUUGAAGCUUUCGAACUUGAUUUCUUUGGAUACUUGAAGAUCACUUCAAAGAUUUGCAGGAAUACUUGAAGAGUUUGAAGGAUACUUGAAGAUUUGAACGCUCAAAUACUUGAAGAUUCGAAUGAUACUUGAAGAUUUGAAUUCUCAAAUACUUGAAGAUUCGAAGGAUACUUGAAUGUUGCCUUGAAGAUCUUGAAGAUUUGAAGGAUACUUGAUGAAUACUCGAAGACUUGAUAGAAUUCUUUGAACUCCUCAAUCUUCC